ACCAAUUAACCUACCUCACAUUAUUCCUCUCUCCACUGCUCUACGAUCGACGUGCCGAACGGAGCUUCAACCAAGCAAUGGCAUCCGGCCUCCUGAAUCGGAAUCUCUUUCCGAUUUCUGCAACAUUGGUGAGAAUUUCUACAUGAACUCUGUUCGCUCAGAACCUGAAACUGAAGAGCUCGAGCUCAGCAUUCGCGUGAAAAGAAUGCAGUUUUCGAGCAAUGGAAGCAACCUUUCUACAAGUUUUCUAUCGUAUCUCUGCCUUUUGCUCAAGCUUUUCGCUGUGAGUAAAUAUAUAUAAAUUUUCGCGUUUACAUGAUUUUGGAUUAGCACUUCUGAUGAAGUUACCUUGAUUACUUGAUAUUGAUAUCCACCAAAAGACUCCGAGAACUGUCGCGAGUUACUUGUAUUCUUCAUUUACAUCCUCAUGAUAUUAAUCUUCAUUUUCAUAUGUAUUUUUUAAAAGUUUUUGGGAGGUGAUCCGCUCUUUAUUUCAUUCUAACCAGCUCUCCGGAUUGUUUCUUUUUUUCCAGCUCAAUAUGUGUCUUUAUUUUUUUGUUUCAUCUGGUAUUUUUACUUGAUAUCCUCCUUUAACUAGUUUGUUCUACAAUAUGCAAUUCCGGUGUGGAACAUAUUUUAAACAGAUACAGUUGCUAAGAUUAUAUGUCAUAUCAAUGCAAUUAAAUGGAACCAACAGUUGUACGCGGUAGACCUAGAACUACUUUGUUAAUGUUAAUUACAUAAUCGCCCAGAGAUGACAGACUGAUAGACACAUAGGAUUAAUAAGAUUUAGCCUAUCUAUUUUGCUAUAUUCUUUUAUCCUGCUUACAUUAUUUUCUGUCGUGGAAAUCAAGUUUUUGCCAAUGCUUACAUUCUAGCAUCUCUAAAACUAAGAUUUAAAGACUUGCCUUGACAAUCAAAUGUAAUAGAAUCAAACAAUUGUCCCGAGAGAUUAGUCAAGGUCCACCACAAGUUGGCCGGACACUCAUGGAUAUUAAAAAAAAAAAAAAAAAAAAAUAGUUAGGGUAAAACAAGUAUUUAUCUGGUUCUGGUCAGGAAAUUGCUCAUAUCAGUAACCUCUUAUCCUUAUAUGAUGUCUCUCAUCUUGUUGCUAAAGAGCAGGUAGCCACAUCUUCCUUCUCUUCAUUGGCAAGACUUCUAUGGGGCUCAAGAACAGUGUCGGUUAGUUCUCUCAGCAGGAGGAAUAUUAAUUUGGUAACGUGUCUUUCUGAUUAUGCAGUUAUCAUAUGUCGGAGGCCAAAACAACACUAUCUUCUUAUAGCUUGGGGUUUACCUUUAUUGAAUUACAUAGGUUAUAUUGGAACAAAAUAUAUGUUACGCAUGGAGGAGUUAUAUUUCUAUGGAGUUUACUAGGAAGAUAUGAAGAGUCAGAGUGGCUUAUUGAGUUGGUUACAAAAAGGAAUGCAGUUUCGAGAUGAAUUUGGUCGACCUAUUUUUUGUUGCACCAAUAUCUCAUAUAUAAAUCUAAUUUAAAGCUUGAGCUGUUGACUUUAUGGCUACCUCUCCUCCAUUUUACUCUGUAAAAUCAUCCUGGUACCUAAAAAUGAUUUAUUUCAUGCAAAUGGAUGCAGUUUUAUUUGGAACGCAUUUUCUUUGAAUAUUGGUUUGAUAUUUAGCUUUUAUUUGUCUUAAAUGAAUGGAAAAGAUACAUAAAAAAAACUGGUUUUUUGUUGCAUCCUGAAGCUUUACGACGCAAUUAUUUCUGUAACAAGUUUCCAAUUUCCACUUGUUGAAACAGAGUUGUCUGCCAUCAUGGAUAUCGUGUGCAGUGUGAAUAUCCAUUCAUAGGGAACUGCCUCAACAGACCCACCACCCAAAAAGUUGGAACUUUUCUCAUACGAGAACAACCUGGGUAUACUCGAAGUGUGCGCGAGGCAUUGUGAGAGUUGGAGCUUCCUUGCAUCUUUCAUAAACGUUGGAGAAGGAUCAUAACGGACAAAGUUACAUCUCAACAUCUCCGGAUCGAAAGAGGUUUGCUAUUUGAUUUCCGUCUGAAUAUCUCCAUGCUCUUGAGGUUAUGUAUUUCUCUCAUUAUCACGGUGGAUUUUAUAGCACAACUCUAAGACUUUUUUUUGACAUGGAAACACGUAGAUAUCAAAUCUUAAAUAGGUAAUCACCAUAGUUUGAACAACACGAGAUAUCAAAUUAUAAGUUUAGUGAAUCUAAACUUAUAAUUUGACCUAAAUUUAAUUCUAUCAAACUUCAACUUUUCUUUUUUACUUGUUAGUUUGAAAUUUUGUAGUUAGUUUGAAAAUUUGUAAAAAGUUACACAAAUAAAAAUCAAUAUUAAUUGGAGAGUAAAUGAAAUUACAGGAGUUUGAGCACGAUACCUCCUACAUUGUAAACUAUAAAUUCUCCUUCUUUUUUAGCCAUACAUACAUAUAGCCUCUAGAUCUCUCUCAUUAAAUGUUGUUUAGUUCACUCAUGUGGCUCCUCUAUUCGAGCGUCACAUACCAACUAACAUCUACUUUAGUUCGUCUCUAAACCACAUUGUACGAGGAGAGAUUCCUUAGUGAUACCAUGUGUAACACCUUAGGUCCAAGAAUCAUACAAGAAUUUGAAUUCAAUAUUGAGUACCUUGUAGCCUUGACGCUCCCUUGCACUUGAUGCGAUCUAGUCAUGCUAUCCUACUCAUCUUGAGAUGCUACGAGGAUGAAGAUCGUUCGUGGAAACUAAUACAAGAGUCCUUUCAGUAUUGUUAUGUUAUUUCUCUCAUUGCCUUGGUGAGUUUUUAUAACAGUGAAUAAUCGUCUAAGCACUACUACAUUUCUUGACAUGGAAAUACGCAUAUAUCAAGUCUCAAAUAGGUAAUCACUAUAGUUUGAACUUAUUUACUGCCUAUCUUUUAGUUCUAAAAUUUGUUUGAGUUGAUCCAUCCAAAAUCAAAAUGCCUCAAGACUCAAACUAUGCUCUAGUUGGUUUUACGUUAUAUGAUGUCUGUCAUAUUUACUUCAGUCGGCUAUAUAUAUUGCAUGUUUACUGUUACCUCUAUUGUUUCAAAUAUCUAAACCCUAAAUAUCAGGUGCCUUAUUUUGUCGAUCCCAGUACUGGUAUUGAAACUGGCAACAAGCAGAUUUUGUCUCAUAUAUUCUAGACAUGUUCUGCAGCCACCCUGCAAUUUUGGCGUCUGAUACCAUUACAUGCCUUACCUGUAAAGCAAUACAAGUCUUUGCCAAACAAGCUUUUAUAGUCGCAAAUAUAUUUUUGUACAAGAAGAAAGCAAGGGUAUUGAUUGCAUUCUUAAAUAUUAUGUCCUAAAUCCCUAUUGAUGAGUAUGUUGAAUGUAAUAUUAGUUUUACAAGAUCAACAAAAGAACUUGAAUGCUAGAUAGACCAUAUCUUCAA